rnacentral:rRNA from 1 species
GGAAUGUGUUAUGAGUUAUUAGUUAUAUUUAUUAAUAUAGUAAAUUGUAUAAUAAGGAAAAAAGAUAAAUUUCUUUAAAACGAUGAAUGAAUUCUAAGAGAGGAAUAUAUUAGAAAUAGUAUAUUUCAAUUUCGAAGAAUAAAAGAAACAUUCGAUGAUAGAAAGGAAUUUAAAAAAGGAUUUAAAGAUGAUGUUAAAAGAAAGCAUUAAUUUAGAUUCAGACUUUUUAAGAUAGUACUUAUCUACCCGUCUUGAAACACGGACCAAGGAGUCUAACAUGGAUGCGAAUGUGAAAGGGAAUAAUCCCUAGAAUACAUGGAGAGAAAUCGAAACACUAUGACGAUCAGAUAAUGAUUAGCAGUAGUAUCUUUUUCAAACGGAAAAGAAGAAGUAAACAUGUUAGGACCCGAAAGAUGGUGAACUAAACUUGAAGGAUUUGAAGCCGAAGGAAACUUUGGUGGAAGAAUCAAGAAGUGUUAACGUGCAAAUUACUUUCGAUAUUUGAGUUUAGGGGCGAAAGACUCAUCGAACCAUCUAGUAGCUGGUUCCACCUGAAUAUUCCCUUAGGAAGGUCAAAGUGGUAAUAGUAUUGAUUGGUAAAGAUAAUGAUUAGGUGUAAUGGUGGAGAUAAUCUGUCAACAUCUUGUCAAACUAUGAAUGAACAAAGAAGUUUGGAAUGUUAGUAACGCUAACUUAUUUUGAACUGAUAUAAGUACACUUUGAAUCGGCCAAGUCUGGUAAGCAGGACUGGCGAUGCGGGAUGAACCGAACGUAGAGAUAAAGUGCCAAAGGGAAACAUAAGGAAAACCAUAAAAGGCAUUCAUUCAUAUUGACAAUAGGACGGUGGCCAUGGAAGUCGGAAACCGCCAAGGAGUGUGUAACAACUCACCUAUCGAAUGAAUGAGUCCUGAAAAUGGAUGGCGUUAUAAUUUCCGUCACUGAUGCUCUACCAUUACUUUGAAGAGAAAGUAAUGAGUAAGGAAACGACAUGGCGUAAAGAUCACGAUAGUAAGAAAGCUUUUGAGUAAUCAAGAGUGAAACGAUCUUUAGUGCAGAUCUUGGUGGUAGUAGCAAAUACUAAGAAGAAGGAAAACACAUCUUAGAACUGAAGAGGAGAAAGGUUCCUAAACAACAUUACUUGGAUUAGGGUGAAUCGAUCCUAAAUGACAGAUGGAAAUCCUUAUAAGAAAUAUAUUAAAAUUUUAUAUCAAUGAUAUAAGAUAAUAAGAAGGAUUAAAAGGGAAUAAGAUUAAUAGUUCUUAAUCAAAAGAAUUUAAUGUUUAAUAUAUAAAUAGAUAACAGUCGUAAGACAGUUAACUAUAAAUAUAUCAACAUAUAAAAAAAUGGUAACAUAUAAAUGAACUUUAAAAGAGAUUAGUAUUAACUAAGGAAGAGUUCUCUUUUCUUCUUAACAAAGCUGCAUAUUGCAUUUAAAUGAAUCAAUCAGAGAAAUGGAAUAUAUUAGCAUUGGAAGACAAUUGUCAUAUGAAUGAUUGGAAUAGGAUAAUACUAGUUUUCAUAAAAAUUAAAGGGAAUACAUAAAGAAAGAAUUCUUUUGAUCGUACUCAUAACCGCAACAGGUCUCCAAGAAUUAGAAUCUUUAGUUAAAUAGAAUAACGCAAGUAAGGGAAGUCGGCAACAUAGCUCUGUACGUUCGCAAGAAAGAGUAGCUCUAAUGAUUGACAAGAAUCAUCUUGUGUACCAAUUAAAUUAGAACUUAUAAAGAUUAGGGGAAUCCGACUGUUUAAUAAAAACAUAGCAUUCUGAAGAAUCUAAAAGGUGCAAAACAGAAUGUGAUUUCUGCCCAGUGCUCUGAAUGUCAAGGUAAAGAAAUUUGCUUAAGCGCGGGUUAACGGCGGGAGUAACUAUGACUCUCUUAAGGUAGCCAAAUGCCUCGUCAUCUAAUUAGUGACGCGCAUGAAUGGAUCACCGUGAUUCCCACUGUCCCUAUUUGCAAUCUAGUGAAACCACAGUCAAGGGAACGGGCUUGAAAAGAACGGCGGGGAAAGAAGACCCUGUUGAGCUUGACUCCAAUUUAUCUAGUGAAAUCGAUUUUUUGGUGUAGGCUAGGUGGGAGAGAGUAACAUCUCAAACGUGAAAUA